rnacentral:rRNA from 1 species
CCUACGGGUGGCAGCAGUGAGGAAUAUUGGUCAAUGGACGAGAUUCUGAACCAGCCAAGUAACGUGAAGGCUGACUGCCCUAUGGGUUGUAAACUUCUUUUAUAUGUGAAUAAACUGUUCCACGUGUGGGCUUUUGUAUGUACCAUAUGAAUAAGGAUCGGCUAACUCCGUGCCAGCAGCCGCGGUAAUACGGAGUAUCCGAGCGUUAUCCGGAUUUAUUGGGUUUAAAGGGAGCGUAGGUGGAUUGUUAAGUCAGUUGUGAAAGUUUGCGGCUCAACCGUAAAAUUGCAGUUGAAACGGGCAGUCUUGAGUACAGUAGAGGUGGGCGGAAUUCGUGGUGUAGCGGUGAAAUGCUUAGAUAUCACGAAGAACUCUGAUUGCGAAGGCAGCUCACUGGACUGCAACUGACACUGAGGCUCGAAAGUGUGGGUAUCAAACAGGAUUAGAUACCCGGGUAGUC